AGGAGGCGGCGGCGGCGGGCGUCCUGGUGGAGUGGGCAGCUUUGGCUGGAGGAAGAGAGUCGACAGGGAGGUUAAUGACGGAGAGACACCGUGACCCACAAAUUGAUCCGAGUCUGCCAUCAGAGGAUGUUCCAAUCCUUUAAACGUGUCUCGGAGGUUUCCAGAGGAGCUGAAGAGACGCAGGUGCGUCUUAUGUGGAAUCAGUUAAGUGAUUAGUCAGCUGCCUCUUCAGCCUUUCACAAACCAAUUAUAGAAUUCAUUUACAGUAUUUAUGGCUGUUUUAUUGCCGUUUCAUGGCUGCUCUGUUCUCUCAGUAACAAGCUUUUAUUUACUAUUGGUGUUAUUCAUAUUCAAUCACAGUUCAUGACACCAGCAAUCAAUCUAUAGUCAAUAGAGCUGCAGCUAACGAUUAUGAUUGGUCUAUAAAAUGACAGAAAAUAGAGAAAAAUGUCUUUUAUAAUUUUCUAAUGUCCAAAAUCUAAGUAAAGAAACAGAAACGCUUUGAUUUUAGACGCUGCAAACAGCUAAUUUUUUGGUAUUUGCACUUAAAGAAUGACUAAAACAAUGAUUUAAUCAAUCAGUUAAUCAACUAAUCGCUGCAGCUAUAAUAAUCAAUAUGCAUCAGGUGGUUAUGUCUACAGAUUAAAAGCUUCUCUCACCACACUCUGACAGUCUGAGCUUUAAU